rnacentral:rRNA from 1 species
AGUGAACGCUGGCGGUAGGCCUAACACAUGCAAGUCGAACGGCAGCACAGUAAGAGCUUGCUCUUACGGGUGGCGAGUGGCGGACGGGUGAGGAAUACAUCGGAAUCUACUUUUUCGUGGGGGAUAACGUAGGGAAACUUCCGCUAAUACCGCAUACGACCUACGGGUGAAAGCAGGGGAUCUUCGGACCUUGCGCGAUUGAAUGAGCCGAUGUCGGAUUAGCUAGUUGGCGGGGUAAAGGCCCACCAAGGCGACGAUCCGUAGCUGGUCUGAGAGGAUGAUCAGCCACACUGGAACUGAGACACGGUCCAGACUCCUACGGGAGGCAGCAGUGGGGAAUAUUGGACAAUGGGCGCAAGCCUGAUCCAGCCAUGCCGCGUGGGUGAAGAAGGCCCUCGGGUUGUAAAGCCCUUUUGUUGGGAAAGAAAAGCAGCAGGUUAAUACCCCGCGGUUCUGACGGUACCCAAAGAAUAAGCACCGGCUAACUUCGUG